rnacentral:rRNA from 1 species
CAGCAGCCGCGGUAAUACAGAGGGUGCAAGCGUUAAUCGGAAUUACUGGGCGUAAAGCGCGCGUAGGUGGUUUGUUAAGUUGGAUGUGAAAUCCCCGGGCUCAACCUGGGAACUGCAUUCAAAACUGACUGACUAGAGUAUGGUAGAGGGUGGUGGAAUUUCCUGUGUAGCGGUGAAAUGCGUAGAUAUAGGAAGGAACACCAGUGGCGAAGGCGACCACCUGGACUAAUACUGACACUGAGGUGCGAAAGCGUGGGGAGCAAACAGGAUUAGAUACCCCAGUAGUCCCUGUCUCUUAUAC